rnacentral:rRNA from 1 species
UACGUAGGGUGCAAGCGUUGUCCGGAAUUAUUGGGCGUAAAGAGCUCGUAGGCGGUCUGUCACGUCUGCUGUGAAAACUCGGGGCUUAACCCCGGGCCUGCAGUGGGUACGGGCAGACUAGAGUGCGGUAGGGGAGACUGGAAUUCCUGGUGUAGCGGUGAAAUGCGCAGAUAUCAGGAGGAACACCGAUGGCGAAGGCAGGUCACUGGGCCGCAACUGACGCUGAGGAGCGAAAGCAUGGGGAGCGAACAGG